UUCCUUUCUCCACGAAACCGACCAGGGUCUCGCUCUUAAACCCUUGAAUUCUCUCUCCUGCCUUUCCUCUCAUCUCUCUCUGACCGAAAAUUCCUCCAACAAAAACCUCUCCUCUUCCUCUCUCCAUCCUCUGUAAAAAUCCAAGCUCUCUCUCUCUCUCUCUGAAUGGGAACCUCAGAUACGUCGCGUGAGCCCUGCCCAGACCGAAUCCUGGACGACAUUGGCGGGGCCUUCGGCAUGGGUGCCGUUGGUGGUUCCGCUUUCCAUUUCAUAAAGGGACUCUACAACUCCCCCAGAGGCGAGCGCCUCCUUGGCGGCUCCCAGGCCGUCCGUAUGAACGCUCCCCGCAUCGGCGGCAGCUUCGCCGUCUGGGGCGGCCUCUUCUCUGCCUUCGACUGCUCCAUAGUCUUCAUCCGCCAGAAGGAGGACCCCUGGAACUCCAUCAUCGCUGCCGCCGCCACCGGCGGCUUACUCCAGAUGGGCCAGGGCCUCCGCCCGGCCGCACGGUCCGCUAUCUUCGGUGGCGUCCUUCUCGCCCUCAUCGAGGGCACCGGCAUAAUGCUCAACAGGGCUCAGAACUUCCCGCCCAUGGAGGAGCCGAUAACGAACAUGGCCGGUGGCGGUGCUGGGUUCCCGAUGAUGGGGUCGAUGCAGAGCCCCACCCUCUCGCAGGCGCCAGAUGGGUCCAGUGAUGGGUCAUUGUCGUCUUCAUCUUCUUGGUUUGGGGGUUUUUUUGGUGGCGGGAAGAAGCAGGAGACUGCAAAGGGUGGCAGUAAGACAGAGAUUUUGGAGAGCUUUGAUACACCAAGCCUGCCGAUUCCCUCAUUCGAGUACAAGUGAAAUGCUGAUAUCGAUGAUUUCUAAAGAUAAAGAAACCGUUAGGUGUAUUCGGGAGUGGCCAUGUGAUCUGGAGAAUGUUCCCCUUGAGCAAAGAGAAAAAGCAAAAGAAGUGAUGUAUGCUUACGAGCAAAAGAAGAUCCAAGAGCAUGACUCUUAAUCUUUUAGUGUUGUUUCAAAUAAUGAGUUUAUUAGUUGAGAUCAUAAGCCAAAGAAGCAGUUUUGUUCGCCUCCCUAUGACUUCGGGUUUGUUUUGAUGAAAAGCACCAAAUUGGAGGGGUUUUAAAACAUCAUAGUAUCUUCAAGCAACAGCUCAAAAUAGCAGCAGAUCUGCUGGGCAUGCAUCUCUCCUUACAGUGUUUUGGUGUUUUAUUAGCAAUUGAAUAAGGUGGUGAAGUUUUCAGGUGAAAUGAAGUUGAGUUGCAAGCAUGCAACUUGUGGUGUUCUUCUCAUCUAACAGUGACGUCUUGAAGCAUCUGUAUUUUCUCGUCUCCAUCUUUGGGUGAGGAAGACUGCAUCAAUCCUCUGAGCAACCGCCUCUUCUGUCCUCACACUGGAGAAGGAAUCUCCGCCCAGAACUGCCUCUUCUGUGUAGGGGUUAUGCGUCACAAGCUGGAGUGAGUAAGCCCUUGCUGGCCAGCUUCCUCAUAGGUGGAGAAAAGAACUGUAAGAGCAGUCAUUAGACUUGCUAACUUGUAGGUGACACUCCUCCCAUGUAUGGUAAAUUCCAAGCUGCCUCUUGACGAAAAUAACAUAAUUCUUCACUGUUCCAUUCAGCUGUAAGAUUUGUCAAAUAGACAAUUGGAUACAAAAUUCACAUCAAGUCAUCAUACAAGAACUUAUAUAACAACAUACUGCAUGGGGUCAAGUCGAAGGCAUUUCCUGUAUGGUGCGGCAGUAACUGUAGGGUAGUGGAGCUGAAAGCCUUGUGGGGUCCACGUGAUGUGCGUAUGACAUACAACCUUUGUGAAAAUGUUCAACCUACCAUGAUGAUCAGUUGAACAUAAAAUGAUGU